rnacentral:rRNA from 1 species
GGGUGAGUAACGCGUGAGUAACCUGCCUUACACAAGGGGAUAGCCGUUGGAAACGACGAAUAAUACCCUAUGAAACUAUCACUUCGCAUGAAGCGAUAGUCAAAGUGUUAGCGGUGUAAGAUGGACUUGCGUCUGAUUAGCUAGUUGGUGAGAAAAAGCCCACCAAGGCAACGAUCAGUGGCCGGCUUGAGAGAGUGUACGGCCACAUUGGGACUGAGACACGGCCCAG